CCUACGGGUGGCAGCAGUGGGGGAUAUUGCACAAUGGGGGGAACCCUGAUGCAGCGACGCCGCGUGGGGGAAGAAGCGCCUCGGCGCGUAAAGCCCUGUUAGCAGGGAAGAAAAUGACGGUACCUGAAGCAGAAGCCCCGGCUAACUACGUGCCAGCAGCCGCGGUAAUACGUGGGGGGCAAGCGUUAUCCGGAUUUACUGGGUGUAAAGGGGGCGCAGACGGCGAUGCAAGCCAGGAGUGAAAGCCCGGGGCCCAACCCCGGGACUGCUCUUGAAACUGCGUGGCUGGAGUGCAGGAGGGGCAGGCGGAAUGCGUGGUGUAGCGGUGAAAUGCGUAGAUAUCAGGAAGAACACCGGUGGCGAAGGCAGCCUACUGGACUGCAACUGACGUUGAGGCCCGAAAGCGUGGGGAGCAAACAGGAUUAGAUACCCCGGUAGUC
rnacentral:rRNA from 1 species